rnacentral:tRNA from 1 species
GGAUGAGUAGUUCAGUUGGUUAGAAUGCCGUUCUGAUAUAGCGGUGGUCGAAGGUUCAAGUCCUUCCUCAUCCA